CUAGGACACGCUCUGCAGGGCGAAUGCCGUGCCUAAUACACCAACACAAUAGCUCUCUCAUAUCCUUCUCCUCCAAUUUAUCCAUCAACUCCUUAACAGUCUCUGCUUCGCUCCCCUCCAAUUUUACCCCGACUGGCUCUGGUUCCAUCCUCGGCUCCGCCGAUCUGUCCAUGUGCCCCCCCCAAAAAAAGGUGCUGUGUAUGUGUGUGCGUGUGUGUGUGCGUGUGUAGUGUGUGUGUGUUUGUUGGUGGGGGACAUAUUUUAUUCUGUAAUUUGCUCUGCUAUCUGGCAGGGUUGGGUCUCAGCCAGAGACCCACACAGGAGCCAAAAUACUGUUGAAAUUCAACUCGGGUGGAUAAAUCUGGUUAAUUAUGAAAAGGUCUGCAAUUUUAAACAACUUUCUUGUGCAUUUUCGCUCUUCCAGCUCAGAUGGGUGGAACUGUUGAGUCAGGUCAUGCCACUCAGAUGUCAGAUGAGGAAGCAGGGGUACUGAAAAUAUAUGUCACAGCUGGCCUGGUGUUCUACCUUCCCAAGGACUCCAAUGUCACCCAGCUCUUCUGCACUCUCUCAGUAGAAGCUCACAUCCAAAUCAAGACUGGCUGGUAUGGGGCAGCAAGGGGAAACACGGAGCCGAACUGAUGUCGCUCACAUUUCAUUGAAAUUACCUUGAGUGUCUCACGCUUUGCAAAAGUUACAUGUCUAGUGUAGCAGGCCAGUGAUUAGCACUCAUUUAUGAUUUAGCUGAUAGAUGAUUUUUUUCGGAAGGUUUUACUUGCACUGACUGUGGGAUAUGUGGUUGUCUUAACUAUCUUAUUUGAAUGCCCUGACUAUAAGUUGCUCUGGAU
rnacentral:lncRNA from 1 species